ensembl:lincRNA
CAUACUCCAUACUUUAUCUCUUCCCCAUUCUGAACACUCCUGCCCCUCUAACUCAUUGUCUAAAAUCGUUGGUGAAGAAGCACUGGUCUCACCUGGGAGCUGGUUAGAAAACAGAAUAUCAGACGCCACGCCAGAUCUCUGGCAAGCAUUGAUCUGUACCACCUCAAGGGUAGAACAAGAGAGGGUGGGCAUCAGGAGACUUGAGGUGGGCACCACCGGGGUUGCUGAAGAGGUUGGAUUUGAAUCAGAGGUGGGGUCCGAGAGUAUGCAUGUCAGUAUGCACAUGUCUGCAGUCCUAGACCAUGGGCUGGCUGAGGCCGCUCCUUCCCUCCCCUGGGUGUGGAUUACCAGGGCUCCAACUUUACAUGGCUGUGAUGGCACCCCGCCUCCACCUACUGCUGUGAGUCAAAUGGAAUCUGUUCAUAUCUGGUGGGGACACCUCUGAUGCGAGGCAAGCCAGGAGAUCCUUUAUGCCUGACCUCCGGCAAUCCAUUUAUCUGACCUGAGUCUCAUAAAGUCGUCCUGAUGAGCCCAAUCGCUUGCUAAUGGUUAUGAGCUGAGACCUGGGAAUUUAUGGCCGAGGCCUUGGUGGCCAUGAACAGGAGUAGCACUACAUGUCACCGGACGAGACAGACUGCAUGGCUGGGAGAUUAGGCUCUGUGUGGCUUCAGUCCGUAGAGGUCUGGGUCUAGGAUCACAGCUGGGAUUAUGCCCUCACCACACACACACACACACACACACACACACACACACACACACAUGCACACAUGGGGCAAAGAGCAGUGCCCUGGGUGGGAGGAGGACAGCUGAGGAGGACGCAGACCUCUAAAACAGCCUGGGAGACUAUUGAGAAAGGAGUCCUUGGUUGGAAAUGCAGAGGUGGAAGGGCCUGGUCUCAUCUUUGUGACACAGAGUUCAUCAUUUCAAUUGCGGCCUCAGGCCUAAGUCAGAACAGCCCUUUCCUCUUUGAGAAUGCAUCUCUGGAAGUGUCAGGCAAGUAUUCCAGAAGUCUGGGCAUGAGAGUGAUCAGGAAAGGCCCAGUGGAUGGGAUAGGGGCCAGCAGGGCAUUGAUCGGCAUGGCCAUGUCUUCAAAUAACGUCAUACACAUACAGACUGACAGAGACAGAGACAGAGACAGAGACAGAGACGGAGCAGGGGCGGAGUCUGGUCUGACUGGGAGACUAAGCCAAAUCAAGUGUGGAACAACUCCAAAGGACCCAGGCAGAAACCUAAGGAUUCCUAAGCCACAGGGCACAACACCCCCGACCCCAUCCUUGGUACCCUCCAAAGCAAGUCAUUAUGGGAGACAGACAUGAGCCCGCCCAAUGUCACAGGUCCAUUCUCCCUUCUGUGCUCUGCCCACCAGCCCAUAUGGGCCUGCAGCCUGAUGUCGAAACCCUGGAGACCUCUAGGGACCCGGACAGCAGCCAACUCAAUGCCGUUUACUGAACACAUGUUCUGUGCUUGGCACUGGGCCAGGAGGAAGGGCUAGGAGGGAAAUUAGACUUGAUCCCUGGCCUCAAAAUAUCAUAGUCUGGUAGGAGGACAAACUUUUUUAUUUAUUUAUUUAUUUUUGGUUUUUUGAGACAGGGUCUCGCUAUGUAGUUGAGACUGAUCUGGAACUCACUAUGUAGCCCAGGCUGGUCUCAAACUCACGCCUCAGCCUCCCGAGUGCUGGGAUUAUAGGCAUGCGCCACCACGCUCGGUUACAAACUUUGAAUAGAUAACAACACAAUGUAAGGGACAGUAAUGUAGGUGUAUUGAUAGGACAGGUAGCUGGUACUGAUAUGAGAGGAAGGUGUAAAGGAAGAUGCGAGAGCUGCUACCUAAAAUUUUCUGUUAUGGAAGACUGAAAAUGAACAAAACAAGACAGAAGAAAACAGCAAAUCCGUAAGGCCUCACCAUGCAGCUCUAGUAAGGAUCUCCUCUGCUCAGACUCAGUGUCUAUACUGUCAUCCCUGUCCACUGUGCUGCCUUGGUUCUAGGGUGGGGGAUUCUGCAAAUGGACCAGUACGGACCAGGGGGAGGGGGAGGGGGAAGAGCGCUGGGGCUAGGGGCGUUAAACGCCACUCCUGUGUGGACCCAGGCGCCCCCCUUCGCCUAGGCGGACCUAGCACUCCGCAGCUGAAAG